GGCGCCUGGGUUCCAACCAGGGGUUCUAUUCCUUUAAAGAUUAUCUUUUCCAUUAGCCGAAGCUUCUGGGAAGGAUAACCGAUAUCGGGAUAGAACUAGAGAUUAUAACAAGAUAUUAGUUCUUGACCAAUAGUGAAGUAGCCUUUAACAGCUACAACACAAUUGACCUUCGAACACAACCCUUGUUAGUGCUCCAUUCGACAUCCUUAGA
rnacentral:lncRNA from 1 species